GCGUGGAGCAUGGGCGUAGCGAAGAAGGGCAGGACCAAGCAGCCCAGGGGGAGGCUGCUGCAAUAACCCCUUAAGAGAUCACACGCUCUGCUCUUAGAUGGAGGCGACGAGCUCGUCCUUCACUCUAGGAAAACGAAAACAUGAAACAAGAAUACUCCAUUUGCUAAAAUGAUCACAAUAAUGUUAAAACAGUUAAUUCUUGUUAUUCAUGCUGAGUUAUGCUCUAUAAAGUCUCCGUGAACACAAAUGAGCACUGGAUUAGCAGGUACUGGAUUAGUGGAUACUGGAUUAAUGAGUACUGGGUUAGCAGGUACUGGAUUAGCAAGUAUUGGAUUAGCAGGUACUGGAUUAGCAAGUACUGGAUUAGCAGGUACUGGAUUAGCAGGUACUGGAUUAGCAAAUAUUGGAUCAGCAGCUACUGGAUUAGCAGGUUCUGGAUUAGUGGAUACUGGAUUAAUGAGUACUGGAUUAGUGGGUACUAGAUUAGCAAGUACGGGAUUAGCGAGUACUGGAUUAUGGAGUACUGAAGCCUUGCCCAAGGGGAAUCACAGGGUUAGGUUCCCGUGUGCCUCUGCUCACAACAUUUUCAUUAGCUGAUCAAUACAUAACCUUGUUUUAUGUCUGUUUCUGUUUACAGACACUUUAU
rnacentral:lncRNA from 1 species